rnacentral:rRNA from 1 species
AGUGGACGCUGGCGGUAUGCCUAACACAUGCAAGUCGAACGGCAGCACAGUAAGAUUUUGCUCUUACGGUUGGCGAGGGGCGGACGGGUGAGGCAUAGAUUGGAAUCUACUUUUUCGUGGGUGAUAACGUAGGGAAACUUACGCUAAUACCUCAUAUGACCUACGGGUUAAAUCAGUGGAGCUUCGGACCUUUCGCGAUUGAAUGAGCCGAUUGCGGAUUAGCUAGUUUGCGUGGUAAAGUCACACCAAGGCGACGAUCCGUAGCCGGGCUGAGAGGAUGAUCCGCCACAACUGAACUUGGAAACGGGCCAGACUCCUACGGGAGGCAGCAGUAGGGAAUCUUGGACAAUGGGCGAAAGCCUGAUGCAGCAACACCGCGUGAGUGAAGAAGGUCUUCGGGUUGUAAAGCUCUUUUAUUAGGGAAGAACAAAAGCGGAAGAAUCCACGCAUGUCCUGACGGUACCCAAAGAAAAAGCCCCGGCUAACUUCGUG